rnacentral:lncRNA from 1 species
ACAUGUUGAUUGCUGCAAAUUCAUCAUAGUUUGAUGAUAUUGUUCUUAUAUAAAUAAAAGGAUCAGCUUAUACAACAACCUCUCACAAAUAUUCGAGCACAUCGUUUAGCAGAAACAUGAAGGUUAUUAUUAUAUGCCUCCUAUUGAUAAGCACAUGUGGUGUGCUUUCUCAUUCUUUGUCGAGCUUUCUACCAAACUCGAUGUUUGAACGAUGCAAGGAAUGCAGAAUGUGUGUCUAUGGGUUUAGAUUUUGCGGAUUAUGUCAAAACAGCACAUUUGGCAGCUGUUCGUAUUGUAAAGAAAUGAAGCACUGCAGAACAACAUGUGUCACCCAUUGCGGUUAUAAAUGGAAUUAUGGUGGAUGAACUUCUUGAGGAAAAGUAAUUGAUUCAAUCAGAAGAACAGUUCAUAUCAUUAACAUGUAAACAGCAAUGUGAAAUAUCUAUGCCAUAUUAGGACUAUUUUCAACAAAUGUAAGACAUUACCAUUUAGGGCUUUGUUAACAUUACAUUUAGCAACCACAUGUUUUUGUAACGUAUACGAAUUUAUAUUUUGAAAAUAUGUUUGUGAUUUAUGAUUUAGAAAUUUUAAAAGGAAAAUAAGAUAAUAAAACAAAUCAUUUGGCUUUAUUUGUGGAUUUCUUUUUAAAUGUGGUGCCAUAAGUUGGACUUUGAGUGUUUCUCAAGUCGGAGUUAAAGUUUGAGCUCCAAAUAAGUAUCACGAACGAAUCAGUCAGCACUUAUGUCAUUUAUAUGGUCAUAUUUAUAAAACUGAUUACACAACUUUUGAUUUCCGAAAUACUUAAGAUUACCAUCCAAAGAAUUGAUUACCUUAAUAGCUGUAUUUGGUAAAAACUUUUUAGGAAUUUUGGGUCCUCAGGUUCAUUAACUUCGAAGUUUAUUGGGGUUUUUAAACUUUUUUUAUUUGAGCGUCUCUGAUGUGUCUUUUGUAGACGAAUCGCGUGUCUGAUUUGUGUUCGUUCGUUUGGUUCAUUUAGUCGAUCGUUUGGUUUUGUUAGUUUUAAUGAACUUUCCAAUUUUUAAUUUAUAUUUAAGUUUGAUAUUCUUAUUAAUACAUUCACUUGUGUAUA